UGAAGAGUUUGAUCCUGGCUCAGGAUGAACGCUAGCGGCAGGCCUAACACAUGCAAGUCGAACGGUAACAGAGAAAAGCUUGCUUUUUUGCUGACGAGUGGCGCACGGGUGCGUAACGCGUAUACAAUCUACCUUUUACAGGGGGAUAGCCUUUAGAAAUGAAGAAUAAUACCCCAUAGUAAGUAUUUUUCGCAUGGAAAAUACUUUAAAGAUUUAUCGGUAAAAGAUGAGUAUGCGUUCUAUUAGCUAGAUGGUAAGGUAACGGCUUACCAUGGCAACGAUAGAUAGGGGCCCUGAGAGGGGGAUCCCCCACACUGGUACUGAGACACGGACCAGACUCCUACGGGAGGCAGCAGUGAGGAAUAUUGGACAAUGGAGGCAACUCUGAUCCAGCCAUGCCGCGUGCAGGAAGACUGCCCUAUGGGUUGUAAACUGCUUUUGUACAGGAAGAAACCUUUCCACGUGUGGAGAGCUGACGGUACUGUAAGAAUAAGGAUCGGCUAACUCCGUGCCAGCAGCCGCGGUAAUACGGAGGAUGCAAGCGUUAUCCGGAAUCAUUGGGUUUAAAGGGUCCGUAGGUGGAUUGGUCAGUCAGAGGUGAAAUCCUGCAGCUCAACUGUAGAACUGCCUUUGAUACUGCCGGUCUUGAAUUAUUGUGAAGUGGUUAGAAUAUGUAGUGUAGCGGUGAAAUGCAUAGAUAUUACAUAGAAUACCAAUUGCGAAGGCAGAUCACUAACAAUAUAUUGACACUGAUGGACGAAAGCGUGGGGAGCGAACGGGAUUAGAUACCCCGGUAGUCCACGCCGUAAACGAUGUCUACUAGCUGUAGGGGUACUUGAGACCUUUGUAGCGCAGCUAACGCAAUAAGUAGACCGCCUGGGGAGUACGGCCGCAAGGUUAAA
rnacentral:rRNA from 1 species